rnacentral:rRNA from 1 species
AGUGAACGCUGGCGGUAGGCCUAACACAUGCAAGUCGAACGGCAGCACAGUAAGAGCUUGCUCUUACGGGUGGCGAGUGGCGGACGGGUGAGGAAUACAUCGGAAUCUACUUUUUCGUGGGGGAUAACGUAGGGAAACUUACGCUAAUACCGCAUACGACCUACGGGUGAAAGCAGGGGAUCUUCGGACCUUGCGCGAUUGAAUGAGCCGAUGUCGGAUUAGCUAGUUGGCGGGGUAAAGGCCCACCAAGGCGACGAUCCGUAGCUGGUCUGAGAGGAUGAUCAGCCACACUGGAGCUGAGACACGGUCCAGACUCCUACGGGAGGCAGCAGUGGGGAAUAUUGGGCGAUGGGCGCAAGCCUGAUCCAGCCAUACCGCGUGGGUGAAGAAGGCCUUCGGGUUGUAAAGCCCUUUUGUUGGGAAAGAAAAGCAGCAGGUUAAUACCCCGCUGUUCUGACGGUACCCAAAGAAUAAGCACCGGCUAACUUCGUG